rnacentral:rRNA from 1 species
ACGCUGGCGGCGUGCUUAACACAUGCAAGUCGAACGAUGAACCUCCUUCGGGAGGGGAUUAGUGGCGAACGGGUGAGUAACACGUGGGCAAUCUGCCCUGCACUCUGGGACAAGCCCUGGAAACGGGGUCUAAUACCGGAUACUGACCCGCUUGGGCAUCCAAGCGGUUCGAAAGCUCCGGCGGUGCAGGAUGAGCCCGCGGCCUAUCAGCUUGUUGGUGAGGUAAUGGCUCACCAAGGCGACGACGGGUAGCCGGCCUGAGAGGGCGACCGGCCACACUGGGACUGAGACACGGCCCAGACUCCUACGGGAGGCAGCAGUGGGGAAUAUUGCACAAUGGGCGAAAGCCUGAUGCAGCGACGCCGCGUGAGGGAUGACGGCCUUCGGGUUGUAAACCUCUUUCAGCAGGGAAGAAGCGAAAGUGACGGUACCUGCAGAAGAAGCGCCGGCUAACUACGUGCCAGCAGCCGCGGUAAUACGUAGGGCGCGAGCGUUGUCCGGAAUUAUUGGGCGUAAAGAGCUCGUAGGCGGCUUGUCACGUCGGUUGUGAAAGCCCGGGGCUUAACCCCGGGUCUGCAGUCGAUACGGGCAGGCUAGAGUUCG